UACGGGGGGGGCAAGCGUUGUUUGGAAUUACUGGGCGUAAAGGGCGCGUAGGCGGCCUUCUAAGUCGGACGUGAAAUCCCUCGGCUUAACCGAGGAACUGCGUCCGAUACUGAAAGGCUUGAAUCCGGGAGAGGGAUGUGGAAUUCCAGGUGUAGCGGUGAAAUGCGUAGAUAUCUGGAGGAACACCGGUGGCGAAGGCGGCAUCCUGGACCGGCAUUGACGCUGAGGCGCGAAAGCUAGGGGAGCAAACGGG
rnacentral:rRNA from 1 species